ensembl:lncRNA
CCACUGCAGCAGAUGCUGCCGAGCAAAGCUGUGACAGAGCUCGACCACAGAGAGCAGCAAAUCCGAGUGGGACGAAACCUGAGCAAAUGAGAAUCCUGCUCCCUGCUUGAAGAGAGAUCACCUUAUAUGGGAACACCAUGGACAAGAGGAUGAACGCAUCCGGCCGGCUGCUGAGACUCUGAGCCUGGGAUUUACAAGUUGGACCUUGAGGGCUCUGCACCUUUCCAGCCUCACCUCCUGUGUGUACAGUGUCAGUGGUGGCCUCACAGCUCUCCCUGCCCCCUGGACCAGAUGCACACAGUUGGCUCAGAACACACUGAGCAGCUGCAGCUCUGUGUGACUCUGCACAGCAGGAGAGGCACAGCCAAGUUGUCUAGCCACUUCUCACAGACUCUGUCAGGAGAGGAUGAUGUUAACAGCUCAGUGAGUACCAGUGUGAAGGAAGCAGCUCACAAAACCAACAGGAUCUGGGAUACAGCAGAAUACACUGUACCAAUGCAGGCUUGUGUUGGGGGAUCUUCCUCAGACCAAAGAACAAUCUCUUCAUCCUCCCUACACAGAUCAUGAAAACCUCAGUGUUGGCAAUCUCAAACAGUGAAAUAAGAAAACUCUAGGAGAAAGACUCCAUGGAACAAUGGUGCUGUGACCUAGAGUAGGAUGGAAGGGCCUCGUAGCCAUCUUUUGUUGUAACCCCAUGACUGUACAAUAUCCAAGAUAAAAAUGUUCUAUUUCUCAUCUGUAGCAGCUAAAGAAUGAAAAAAAAAUUAUAAACUCUUUAAUUUCAACUGAAAUUAUGGAAUUAAUACUCUAUGGAAGCAAAUUGUAAUGAAUUUUAGUUCCUCUCAGCCAGCUUUGAAAUAUAUGUGUAAGAAACUAGGUCAAUUAGCACUUUCAUUAGCUCAUUUACAAGCCCAUAUGUAUAAAAUAUAGGAUACAUAUAAAUUUCUACAUUUAUAUCUCAUCUUCUCACUAAUUUGGAGUUUUCUGCAGAAACAGCAGUUUUUCCACUGCCAGGUCCUCUCCAGUGGCCACAAUGCCUCCUACAGCUCCUUCUGCUGAGGUUUUUCACCACUCGAGAGCAAAUUCCAUUCCCUUCUCAUGUGGACAGAGUUAUGAUCUGAAAAAGGCUUUGUCCAACAACAGGAAGGCUGUAAUUGUUCAUACAGUAUCCGGGAAAGAUAUGCAUGAGCUUCCUGAGUUAGUGAAAUCCUAAGGGUUCGUUAUAAAGUUUCAGUGACUGCCAGUCAUUUUGAAAUGUCACCCUGUGUAGGCUCCUGCUCGGAUAUUGCAAAGGGAGUUUUGCUUUCAAUUCCAUGGCACACUUGAUACAUUCUGCCCUGUUCCCUAACCCUCCUCUGACAUGCCAGGAGUGGGUCACUACAGGCACCAAAAAUAUGGUUUGGUGAUGAGAGGUUUGGUCCAAAUAUCUGAUGUAUAAAGUUCCUUCACAAGUUCCAUUGGCAGGAAGAAAAAAUGGAGGAAUCGCUAAAAAACAAAGCUGAGUGUUUAUUUUCUACCAGAACAAUACCAAGGUCAGAGCCCAGGAAGCUCUGCCAUGUGGUUGAGA